UUGCAGCCAAUUGAGUCAACGGUGCUCUUUUCCCCAUGGUUGGGGGGCGGGGGUUGCUGUGUGCUGCUUGCAAACGACAGCCUUCUGGGUAGGCUAUGCAGCCUGCUGCCUGUUCAGCUUGCUCUAAGGGACCUGGGACAUUC
rnacentral:snoRNA from 1 species